rnacentral:rRNA from 1 species
UGAAUACGAGAUGCUACGGCAUCGAAGCAGUCUAUGUCAUACUUCCAAGAAAAGCUUGCACUGUCAUAAACAAAUAAUGCCUGUACCAUAACCGACACAGGUGGGUAGGUAGAGUAUACUAAGGGGCGCGAGAUAACUCUCUCUAAGGAACUCGGCAAAAUGACUCCGUAACUUCGGGAGAAGGAGUGCCUUAUUUUAUAAGGUUGCAAUAACAAGAUCCAAGCAACUGUUUACCAAAAACACAGGUCUCCGCUAAGUCGUAAGACGAUGUAUGGGGGCUGACGCCUGCCCAGUGCCAGAAGGUUAAAGAAGUUGGUUAGCAUUAGCGAAGCUGAUAACUGAAGCCCUGGUGAACGGCGGCCGUAACAAUAACGGUCCUAAGGUAGCGAAAUUCCUUGUCGGGUAAGUUCCGACCCGCACGAAAGGCGUAAUGAUUUGGAUACUGUCUCGGAGAGGGGCUCGGUGAAAUAGACUUGUCUGUGAAGAUGCGGACUACCUGCACCAGGACAGAAAGACCCUAUGAAGCUUUACUGUAACUUGAGAUUGAAAUUGGACUUUAUUUGCGCAGUAUAGGUGGGAGACGUUGAAAAUAUUCUUGCGGGAAUAUUGGAGUCAUCAGUGAGAUACCACUCUUAUAAUGUUAGAUUUCUAACUUUGUAUCAUUAUCUGGUCAAAGAACAGUCUCAGGCGGGCAGUUUGACUGGGGCGGUCGCCUCCCAAAUGGUAACGGAGGCGCACAAAGGUUUCCUCUGAACGUGUAGAAAUCGUAUCUAGAGUGUAAAGGCAUAAGGAAGCUUGACUGUGAGACCUACAAGUCGAGCAGGGACGAAAGUCGGUCUUAGUGAUCUGACGGUGCUGAGUGGAAAGGCCGUCACUCAACGGAUAAAAGUUACUCUAGGAUAACAGGCUGAUCUCCCCCAAGAGUUCAUAUCGACGGGGAGGUUUGGCACCUCAUGUCGGCUCAUCGCAUCCUGGGGCGGUAGUACGUCCCAAGGGUUGGGCUGUUCGCCCAUGAAAGCGGUACGCGAGCUGGGUUCAGAACGUCGUGAGACAGUUCGGUCCAUAUCCGGUGUAGGCGUUAGAAUAUUGAGAGGAGCCUUCUUUAGUUCGAGAGGACCGAGAAGGACAUACCUCUGGUGUACCAGUUAUCGUGCCAACGGUAAACGCUGGGUAGCUAUGUAUGGAGAGGAUAACCGCUGAAAGCAUCUAAGUGGGAAGCCCACCUCAAGAUAAGUAUUCUCA